ACUUUCAACAACGGAUCUCUUGCUCUCGCAUCGAUGAAGAACGCAGCGAAUUGCGAUAAGUAAUGUGAAUUGCAGAAUACCGUGAAUCAUCGAAUCUUUGAACGCAUAUUGCACUCUCUGGUAUCCGGGGAGUAUGCCUGUUUGAGGGUCAGU
rnacentral:rRNA from 1 species